rnacentral:rRNA from 1 species
GAUGAACGCUGGCGGCAUGCCUAACACAUGCAAGUCGAUCGGUAAGGCUCUUCGGAGUACACGAGAGGCGGACGGCUGAGUAACGCGUAGGAACACACCCUGCAGUGAGGGAUAAGACACCGAAAGGUGUUCUAAUACCGCAUACGGUCUUCGGAUUAAAGCAUUUAUGCGCUGAAGGAGUGGCCUGCGUCAUAUUAGAUAGUUGGUGAGGUAAUGGCUCACCAAGUCGAUGAUGUGUAGCUGGUCUGAGAGGAUGAUCAGCCAGACUGGAACUGAGACACGGUCCAGACUCCUACGGGAGGCAGCAGUGGGGAAUAUUUCACAAUGAGCGAAAGCGUGAUGGAGCAAUGCCGCGUGCAGGAUGAAGGCCCUCGGGUUGUAAACUGCUUUUAUAAGAGAAGAUUAUGACGGUAACUUAUGAAUAAGGGACGGCUAACUACGUG